UAGUCCACGCCGUAAACGAUGAUCACUCGAUAUUGGCCUUCGGGUCAGUGUCCUAGCGAAAGUGUUAAGUGAUCCACCUGGGGAGUACGCCGGCAACGGUGAAACUCAAAGGAAUUGACGGGGGCCCGCACAAGCGGUGGAGCAUGUGGUUUAAUUCGAUGAUACGCGAGGAACCUUACCAGGGCUUAAAUGCAGAACGACCGGUCUGGAAACAGACCUUUCUUCGGACGGACUGCAAGGUGCUGCAUGGUUGUCGUCAGCUCGUGCCGUGAGGUGUCGGGUUAAGUCCCAUAACGAGCGCAACCCCUAUCUCUAGUUGCCAGCGGAUAAUGCCGGGGACUCUAGAGAAACUGCCAGCGUAAGCUGUGAGGAAGGUGGGGAUGACGUCAAAUCAUCACGGCCCUUACGUCCUGGGCUACACACGUGCUACAAUGGCGGAGACAAUGAGCCGCGAACCCGCGAGGGUAAGCUAAUCUUUAAACUUCGUCUCAGUUCGGAUCGGAGUCUGCAACUCGA
rnacentral:rRNA from 1 species